AACCUGCCCUUGGGCAGGGGAACAACAGCUGGAAACGGCUGCUAAUACCCCAUAGGCUGAGGAGCAAAAGGAGGAAUCCGCCCAAGGAGGGGCUCGCGUCUGAUUAGUUAGUUGGUGAGGCAAUGGCUUACCAAGGCGACGAUCAGUAGCUGGUCCGAGAGGAUGAUCAGCCACACUGGGACUGAGACACGGCCCAGACUCCUACGGGAGGCAGCAGUGGGGAAUUUUCCGCAAUGGGCGAAAGCCUGACGGAGCAAUGCCGCGUGAAGGCAGAAGGCCCACGGGUCAUGAACUUCUUUUCUCGGAGAAGAAAAAAUGACGGUAUCUGAGGAAUAAGCAUCGGCUAACUCUGUGCCAGCAGCCGCGGUAAGACAGAGGAUGCAAGCGUUAUCCGGAAUGAUUGGGCGUAAAGCGUCUGUAGGUGGCUUUUCAAGUCCGCCGUCAAAUCCCAGGGCUCAACCCUGGACAGGC
rnacentral:rRNA from 1 species